CAUAGCGUCCCCUGGCUCACCUGUCUGAGCUUUGUGCCCACCAUGGAGGCACUGCUGUCCAGCACGAACACAACGUUCUUCGGCAGCGGCGGGAGAUCCUUGGGGGCGAAGUAAUGCACGAAGUAUCCGUUCAGGAUCUGAAGGAGGGGGAGAAAGUCAAGGACACGUGGCAGGUCACAAUAUUGUCAACCACACUCGUCACCAGGACCCCUUCGCCCCCAGUGAAGUCAACAGCUUUGCCAUGCACCCCAGUGGGAGCAGGAUUGAUCCUUAAUUCUGAAUAGCGUCUUUCGUACCAAGGACGUCCCCAAAUGCUGAGCAGAGCUAGACGCUGCUGCAUGGUGCAGUGGGGAAUCAGAGUGGAGGCAGAAAAGAAUUAAGUGAUUCUGGCUGAAUGGGGAAGAGAGAUUUUCAGCUGAGAUUUUAGAGGAGUCAGUGGCAUGGAGGGAGACAGGAAGGCUGUUCCAGCUGGCAGGAGCCACAAAGAGGACAAGAGUGGAGUACCCAAGCAAUGAAGUGUAGAGGUGAAGCCAAAUUCAAACUUGGUCAGAGCUUGGGAGAGUCCAGAUACAGAGCUCCAACCCAGAGCUCAUCCUGAGCUUUAAAAUGGGAGCAUCUAGGAAGGUGGAAGGAGAGAGGAGUAAAGCAAAAGCUCCCUGCAGUUCGGGGUUUUGAGCACCAGCUGUAAAACAGAAAGGAAACAGAGUGACUUCCCCGUGGUAAAUCCUGUCUCCGAUGAUCCUGUCGGGUUAAGAGACGUCAGCCUUACAGAUCCACAGUCACGGAGACAAAUCCGGAUGUGGGGCUCGUCCUAGCGCAGUGACAAUGCUUGGGCACGUUUCUGUGCUGGGCAUAGGCUAAAGGGGCAAGUGGUCUGUGAGUUAUGGCCUCAGAGAAUCCCACCCAGCAGCUGCCAGCCCAGGGCAGAGGGACUCCAGUUGUCAAAGGCAGCAACAGCAGAUACAAGCAACAGUGUCUACAUGGACACUGCAUUGACCCAGCUACGUCGAUCUAAGUACUAUGCCUCUCGGGGAGGUGGCGUUAUUAGGUCUGCAUAGCAGGUGAGUUAAAUCAGUGGGAGGACAUUGUAGUGUAGACGCUUACACAGUUAGGUCAAUGUAAGCAGCCUCAUGUCAACCUAACUCUGUUGUGCAGACCAGGCCCUACUGUUUCCU